UACGUAGGGGGGCAAGCGUUGUCCGGAUUUAUUGGGCGUAAAGAGCGUGUAGGCGGCUAGGUAGGUCCGUUGUGAAAACUCGAGGCUCAACCUCGAGACGUCGAUGGAAACCAUCUGGCUAGAGUCCGGAAGAGGAGAGUGGAAUUCCUGGUGUAGCGGUGAAAUGCGCAGAUAUCAGGAAGAACACCCGUGGCGAAGGCGGCUCUCUGGUACGUGACUGACGCUGAGACGCGAAAGCGUGGGGAGCGAACAGG
rnacentral:rRNA from 1 species